rnacentral:rRNA from 1 species
AAGUCGAGCGAACGGACGAGAAGCUUGCUUCUCUGAUGUUAGCGGCGGACGGGUGAGUAACACGUGGAUAACCUACCUAUAAGACUGGGAUAACUUCGGGAAACCGGAGCUAAUACCGGAUAAUAUUUUGAACCGCAUGGUUCAAAAGUGAAAGACGGUCUUGCUGUCACUUAUAGAUGGAUCCGCGCUGCAUUAGCUAGUUGGUAAGGUAACGGCUUACCAAGGCAACGAUGCAUAGCCGACCUGAGAGGGUGAUCGGCCACACUGGAACUGAGACACGGUCCAGACUCCUACGGGAGGCAGCAGUAGGGAAUCUUCCGCAAUGGGCGAAAGCCUGACGGAGCAACGCCGCGUGAGUGAUGAAGGUCUUCGGAUCGUAAAACUCUGUUAUUAGGGAAGAACAUAUGUGUAAGUAACUGUGCACAUCUUGACGGUACCUAAUCAGAAAGCCACGGCUAACUACGUGCCAGCAGCCGCGGUAAUACGUAGGUGGCAAGCGUUAUCCGGAAUUAUUGGGCGUAAAGCGCGCGUAGGCGGUUUUUUAAGUCUGAUGUGAAAGCCCACGGCUCAACCGUGGAGGGUCAUUGGAAACUGGAAAACUUGAGUGCAGAAGAGGAAAGUGGAAUUCCAUGUGUAGCGGUGAAAUGCGCAGAGAUAUGGAGGAACACCAGUGGCGAAGGCGACUUUCUGGUCUGUAACUGACGCUGAUGUGCGAAAGCGUGGGGA